GCAUUCUACUUCUAUAUUGCUCAUAGGCAGCGUGGUAUAAGUUUUGCAUAAUGGUGUAUUAGUUUGAAGUAGUUAUACUUGUGAUUGCAGGAAGUUACCGGUAUAAGUAACCCUGGAUGAUAACCAAGACAUUGAGCCUUUACAUGGUUGGUGUUCGUAUUGGAGAGACGAUUUGAUGUUGGAGGCUUGGAGCAUUAUCUAUAAGAAGAAGUUGCAAAUUUGCUUUUUUAUGUUGUAUUUGAUUCAAUACUUGUUAGUUUUUGAAUUUUUUAUGCCUUUAGACUAUUUGAAUGUGCAUUUUCGAGUCUAAUCGAUGUUUUGGAUAUCUAAAACUUGUUAUAAUUGAUUUGUAGAAAUACUUCUUGUAAUGAAAUGAUUUGUAAUUUUAUUCAA